rnacentral:rRNA from 1 species
UUCGGAUGGAAGUUGAAUUGACUGACUGGCGGACGGGUGAGUAACGCGUGGGUAACCUGCCUUGUACUGGGGGACAACAGUUAGAAAUGACUGCUAAUACCGCAUAAGCGCACAGUAUCGCAUGAUACAGUGUGAAAAACUCCGGUGGUACAAGAUGGACCCGCGUCUGAUUAGCUAGUUGGUAAGGUAACGGCUUACCAAGGCGACGAUCAGUAGCCGACCUGAGAGGGUGACCGGCCACAUUGGGACUGAGACACGGCCCAAACUCCUACGGGAGGCAGCAGUGGGGAAUAUUGCACAAUGGGCGAAAGCCUGAUGCAGCGACGCCGCGUGAGUGAAGAAGUAUUUCGGUAUGUAAAGCUCUAUCAGCAGGGAAGAAAAUGACGGUACCUGACUAAGAAGCCCCGGCUAACUACGUGCCAGCAGCCGCGGUAAUACGUAGGGGGCAAGCGUUAUCCGGAUUUACUGGGUGUAAAGGGAGCGUAGACGGUAAAGCAAGUCUGAAGUGAAAGCCCGCGGCUCAACUGCGGGACUGCUUUGGAAACUGUUUAACUGGAGUGUCGGAGAGGUAAGUGGAAUUCCUAGUGUAGCGGUGAAAUGCGUAGAUAUUAGGAGGAACACCAGUGGCGAAGGCGACUUACUGGACGAUAACUGACGUUGAG